rnacentral:lncRNA from 1 species
GUGCAGGGCCAGCAUACAGAUUUGGGUGAACCCUUGCAAACUCCUCCAUCAUGCCCAAGUAGGCAAGACGAAAACACAGGCUUCUGUCCUCUGUGGAUUCUGUGAUUUGUGAAGCACUGAAAGAGAUCGGAUUUCUGCAGAAAAGGAAUAUCCAAUGGGAAAGAAGUUAAAAUUUUGAAAUACUUCAGUGAUGUGAUCAGUGGACAGUAGUGGGAA